rnacentral:rRNA from 1 species
AGCGAACGUUUGCGGCGGGCCUAACACAUGCAAGUCGAACGCACUAGCAAUAGUGAGUGGCGCACGGGUGCGUAACACGUGGGUAAUCAACCCUUCAGCUUGGGAUAACGACUUGAAAGGGUCGCUAAUACCGGAUACGGCGCGGGAGGCUUCGGCUUCUCACGAGAAAGCCUCGCAAGGGGCACUGAAGGACGAGCCUGCGGCCCAUCAGCUAGUUGGUGAGGUAAGAGCUCACCAAGGCGAAGACGGGUAGCUGGUCUGAGAGGAUGAUCAGCCACACUGGAACUGAGACACGGUCCAGACUCCUACGGGAGGCAGCAGUGGGGAAUAUUGCGCAAUGGGCGAAAGCCUGACGCAGCCACGCCGCGUGAGCGAUGAAGGCCUUCGGGUCGUAAAGUUCUGUGGGGAGAGACGAAGAAAGCCCGUGAAGAGCGGGCCUUGACGGUAGUCUCCUUAGCAAGCACCGGCUAACUCCGUGCCAGCAGCCGCGGUAAU